rnacentral:rRNA from 1 species
UACGAAGGGGGCUAGCGUUGUUCGGAAUCACUGGGCGUAAAGCGCGCGUAGGCGGUCUGAUAAGUUUGGUGUGAAAGCCCAGGGCUCAACGGAGGAACUGCGUCGGAUACUGGCAGACUCGAGUUCGGGAGAGGAGGGUGGAAUUCCUGGUGUAGAGGUGAAAUGCGUAGAUAUUAGGAGGAACACCCGUGGCGAAGGCGGCCUUCUGGACGGAUACUGACGCUGAUACGCGAAAGCGCGGGGAGCAAACAGG